GUGGGGAAUAUUGGACAAUGGGCGAAAGCCUGAUCCAGCCAUGCCGCGUGUGUGAAGAAGGUCUUCGGAUUGUAAAGCACUUUAAGUUGGGAGGAAGGGCAGUAAGUUAAUACCUUGCUGUUUUGACGUUACCGACAGAAUAAGCACCGGCUAACUUCGUGCCAGCAGCCGCGGUAAUACGAAGGGUGCAAGCGUUAAUCGGAAUUACUGGGCGUAAAGCGCGCGUAGGUGGUUUUGUAAGUUGGAGGUGAAAUCCCCGGGCUCAACCUGGGAACUGCCUACAAAACUGCAUGACUAGAGUACGGUAGAGGGUAGUGGAAUUUCCUGUGUAGCGGUGAAAUGCGUAGAUAUAGGAAGGAACACCAGUGGCGAAGGCGACUACCUGGACUGAUACUGACACUGAGGUGCGAAAGCGUGGGGAGCAAACAGGAUUAGAAACCCGGGUAGUCC
rnacentral:rRNA from 1 species